rnacentral:misc_RNA from 1 species
GAUGAAGAACGCAGCGAAAUGCGAUACGUAAUGUGAAUUGCAAAUUCAGUGAAUCAUCGAGUCUUUGAACGCACAUUGCGCCCCCUGGUAUUCCGGGGUGCAUGCCUGUCCGAGCGUCAUUGCUGCCCUCAAGCACGGCUUGUGUGUUGGGCCCCGUCCUCCGAUCCCGGGGGACGGGCCCGAAAGGCAGCGGCGGCACCGCGUCCGGUCCUCGAGCGUAUGGGGCUUUGUCACCCGCUCUGUAGGCCCGGCCGGCGCUUGCCGAUCAACCCAAAUUUUUAUCCAGGUUGACCUCGGAUCAGGUAGGGAUACCCGCUGAACUUAAGCAUAUCAAUAAGCGGAGGA